rnacentral:rRNA from 1 species
AACGAACGCUGGCGGCAUGCCUAACACAUGCAAGUCGAACGAAGGCUUCGGCCUUAGUGGCGCACGGGUGCGUAACGCGUGGGAAUCUGCCCUUUGCUUCGGAAUAACAGUUAGAAAUGACUGCUAAUACCGGAUGAUGUCGCAAGACCAAAGAUUUAUCGGCAAAGGAUGAGCCCGCGUAGGAUUAGCUAGUUGGUGGGGUAAAGGCCUACCAAGGCGACGAUCCUUAGCUGGUCUGAGAGGAUGAUCAGCCACACUGGGACUGAGACACGGCCCAGACUCCUACGGGAGGCAGCAGUGGGGAAUAUUGGACAAUGGGCGAAAGCCUGAUCCAGCAAUGCCGCGUGAGUGAUGAAGGCCUUAGGGUUGUAAAGCUCUUUUACCCGGGAUGAUAAUGACAGUACCGGGAGAAUAAGCUCCGGCUAACUCCGCG